GCUGUUAUUUUCAUACCGAUUUAGUCCAUAUAACAUGUAUAACUAUAGUGCAUUUUUAUACAUAGCUAUGACAUGUUCGACAGUUUGAUUAGGUUUGUGCAAUGUUGGUAUGUUUUAACGGUAACAUUAAUUGAAAAUCCAGUUAUGACGUCUGCCAAGGACGUAUAUAUAUGUGAGUUAUACAUAUACUUGCGUCUGCAUACUAGACAUAUUUCAUUUUUUUUUAAAGUUAUUGAUACUUGUAUCCAUUUAUAGAUCACUAUACCUCAAUAUAGAUGUUCAUCAUGCAUUGUCAUGUAUAAGUGUAUAGUUUAGAUUAAAACCAAUUUAAUAAAUGCAGCUGUAAUAGCUUUCUUUUCAUACAUGUCAUAUUUUAUUCUUUUUUAAUAUGAAUAUGUUGGUGCUGUGUGAGAUGUUUUUUUUUUGUGUAAACAUACUCUUAUAUCAUGUAUAUAUUUAAGUGUAAUAAUUGCUAUGUUCUUGUUCUUUUUCUAGAUUGGCAGUAUAAUCAGCUGGGGAGAAAAACUCAAACCAUUCCC
rnacentral:lncRNA from 1 species